rnacentral:lncRNA from 1 species
CCCGGAAAAAAUGCCUUCCAGUUUUGCACCCCACAAACAGCGGACACUACUGGCCGUCCGUUUUCUAUGGACGAUAUCAUAAAUAUUACAAAUUACAUUGAUGAAAAUCUAUAAUUAGAUAUGAGACGUGCGCAUGCGCACUAGCAGUAAAGGUGAGCGCGCGCACCCAAGUACAAUUCACUUCCGUUGGUAGUAACGCGUAAUGGCGGACUUACAGGGAAAUUGAGACACUAGUAGCAGUGACGAUAAUGGUUCAAAGCCUAUAGAUGAACAUUCGCAAGAAAAUUGUAAUAGCCAGAAAGAGCUUUUGAAGAAGAAAAGGCUGAAUUCCACCUAAGAGACGUUCUUGUGUGAUAUAGACUGGGCACUGGCCUAUUGGUCACCAGCAUAUACCAAGUAUAAUACCUGAAGGUUCUAAGACUGGGAUGAAGUUUAAUACCAAUUGAGCUGUAAGGAAAGAGGUUGGAAUCAAAGUCCUUGUCUGUUGGCAACUACAGAUAUAGCAGAACCAGAUUAAACACAGGAAAUGGCUGCUCAAGAUAGCAUUUAACCAAAUGAGCUGAUUUAAUUGCUCAUGGAGUCAGAACACAUGGCUCAAAUGGAACAAGAGGAACAUACCCUGUAGACGAAAACAUCGUGAGAAUUCAUCAAAAACAAGACAAAAAUGGAGUCAGAAUGAGGACGAGGAAAUAAGAAAAAUAUUUCAUAAAUGUUUCCUUACAAGAAAAUGUCCAACAGCUCAUCAUUGUCUUAAAGCUAUAAAUUUAAGCAGGAAGAACAACUGUUGCAUUUGUAAACGUAAUAAGGAUGUCCUUAAAAAAGAAGUCAUAUUGAAGGAUUGACAGCUUAAGUGAUUAACAUUUAUGUAGUAGACAGCGACUGGGAAACCCAUGAGACAUGAACCAUAGUCACAUAAAAAUAAAAAAAAAUGUCACAUAAGUUUUAAGUGCUGAUGAGCCCUGUGUCACAUGGCUAAACUGUAUUGAAUGCAAAAGAAUGAAACUAUUUAAUAGUGCAAAUUUUAUGUAAAGGAAUGUAACCAAAGUGGGGAUUCAAAGUGCUUUCAAUGUUUAAAGACAUGUGUUAACAUAGUAUUUUAUUCUAGACUUUGAUUUUUAUGUCAGUUUUCAAUAUUUGUCCCCAAGUAAGAGGAAAUUGUUGCUAGUAAAAAGGCAAAAAAGUUACCUUUAAGUUUAAGUUUUACAAAUAUCAACAAUAAUGAGGAAUUGACUUGCGAUGAAAAUAACAACACCCGUUUUUAAACAUAUUUAAAAUAAUUGUUCAUAGAAGUAACGGUACACUUAGUCUGCUUCUUUUUCCAAAGUAUUAAAUGUUGACAAUGUUUACUUUUAUCACAUACAGGCACAUUGCUGUAAAUUUUUUUAAAGAAUGUUAUCCAGGGUAUGAUUAGAGCAUUGUUCGGAAGACUUACAUUUAUUAUCAGUGGUAUAAAGGAGUACUGUUCAGUUCUACCAGGAAAGUAGAGUAAAAUAAAUGCUUUGAAUAUUAUUGACAUUAAAGCCGUUGAGCUGUUACAGUUUUAGUUGCUAUACUUUUAUUUAAUUAAGAGCUUAUUUAAUCUGAAAUGUAUACAUACUACAGUGCAAAUUCCUAGCACACAAAUCGCAGAUGUCCCACAGAAAUUUCUGAAUUUCACAAAAUUUUUAAAUGUCACUUAACAAAUUGUGUAUGAUGGGCCUUCGUCCCAUGAACAAAAAUUCGUUCCCUGUCACUGAGUAGAAUGAAUAUCAUCCAAACUUUUUGCCUGUUCGGAAAUAAAUAUAACUGAUUUUAGUCAACACUUUAAUUCUUUUGAGGAAAAGCUAGUGUUGUAUGAUGUUUAAUCAGCUCUAUUUAGUAUAGACUCAAAUAGUAAACCUUAAAAGUGGUGUACCCUGAAGUUCUUAACUAUAUUAUUAUUUCUCAUAUUGGACCAGACAUUGAGCAGAUUAUUCCUUUGUCAUAGAAAUGAGCACACGGUGUACUGAUUUUUUUACUAGGCUAUAUUAGAAAAAUUUGUCCUGAUGAAAGAUGCUACGAGUUUUAGUGUACAGCACUUUUAGAUAUAAUCACUGUAGUGAUAUGUGUUUGACGUACAUCUGCUUUAAUUGAAUGUAAACCCAUGUACAAGGCAGGUUUCUUGUUAGUGGGUUACAAGUUGUUUUACCUUUUUUGUGGGUAACAAGUUUUACCUUGUUUUAUGCUAUUUUUUUUUUAAGUCGCCAUAUGACCUAUCAUGUGUCGGUGCGACGUUAAAUCCAACAAAAUAAAUAAAUAAAUUUAUGCUAUUUUUAGCUCGACUAUUCAAAGAAUAGGUAGUGCUAUUGCACUCACUCGUGCGUCGGCGUCGCGUCCCGACCAGGUUAAGUUUUUGUAUGUAAGCUGAUAUCUCAGUAACCACAUAUCGGAAUGGAUUGAAACUUCACACACUUGUUCACUGUGAUAAACUGACCCACAUUGCAGAGGUUCCAUAAAUCUGAUUGCUUAUUUACAAAAUUAUGCCCCUUUCUUGACUUAGAAGUUUUUAGUUAAGUUUUUAGUUAAGUUUUUGUGUGUAAGCUGAUAUCUCAAUAACCACUAAAGGGAAUGGAUUGAAACUUCACAUACUUGUUUCCUGUGAUAAACUGACCUAAAUUGCACAGGCUCCAUAAGUCUGAUUGCAUAUUUACAAAACUAUGCCCCUUUUUCGACUUAGAAAUUUUAGGUUAAAGUUCUGUAUGUAAGCUGGUAUCUCAACAACCACUAGUGGGAAUUGAUUGAAACUUCACGUACUUGUUUAAUGUGAUGAACUAACCUAUACUGCACAGGUUCCAAAACUCUGAUUUGCAUUUUUUCAAAAUUGUUCCCCUUUUUCUACUUUUAAAUUUAUUUAAUUGACAAGGCUGUUGAAUAGUCGAGCAUUUAUGUCCUCCGACAUUUCUUGUUAAACAUUUAGAAUGUUGGUGUAAACAUACUCGAAAUUGUUCUUCUGGUUUAUUUCUGUUAUUGCCAAAAAAUGAAAAUAUUCAUGACAUAUUAAAAUGACAUUAAGCUUACCUUACUGCAUAGGUGUUUUUGGUUACUGUGUUAGACUGUCAGUUUUAUAUUGCUGUACAUUUAGAUGUGUUAAAUAACCAAAAAUGCAAGAACAAAAGUUCAAGUUAAUACUUUAAAACUAAGAAUUUACUUUCCAAAUGUUACUUUUCUUAUUUUGACUGGGACAGUCUUUUUAAGAAAAUUAGACUGUGUACUAUAAUUCCCUUAAGUCUGGUUCUUUAUAUUUAAGGGAGUGAUUACCUUAGACACCAGAAAUGCCAUUUUUGCAAAAUUUGUAUGAUUGUAAUGAAACUUGGUACAUACAUAGUCGUCAUGUAGUCACGGGUGUCAAUCUUAGGCGCAACAAAAAUGCCAAGAAAUAUAAGUAAAUGUGGUUUAAUAUUGCAUGUCCGUGCAAUAUAUUUCAAAAAUAACAAAAAUCAUCCUCAAUGUAUAUUUUAAACAUGUUGCAAAAUUUUGCAUAUCAAUGUCAGUAGUUCUUGUCUUCUUCUUGGACAGAAAAGAAGAAGAAUGUCAGUAGUUGAUAACUUUGAUCAUGACCUUGACCUACGUUCUUGUGUCACCAAAUCACAGUUGUAAAUCAAGAUAAGCCUAAUGUCAAUUUAAGUGGAUUUUCAAUUUUUGACUGGGAUAGUCAAAUAAAAUUGUGUUUACUACUUUAUAUGAAUAAAGCUGAACAUAUCUAUA